rnacentral:rRNA from 1 species
CCCCGUACACAAAAAUGCACAUAUUGUGAGCUCGAUGAGUAGGGCGGGACACGUGGUAUCCUGUCUGAAUAUGGGGGGACCAUCCUCCAAGGCUAAAUACUCCUGACUGACCGAUAGUGAACCAGUACCGUGAGGGAAAGGCGAAAAGAACCCCGGCGAGGGGAGUGAAAAAGAACCUGAAACCGUGUACGUACAAGCAGUGGGAGCCUCUUUAUGGGGUGACUGCGUACCUUUUGUAUAAUGGGUCAGCGACUUAUAUUCUGUAGCAAGGUUAACCGAAUAGGGGAGCCGAAGGGAAACCGAGUCUUAACUGGGCGUUAAGUUGCAGGGUAUAGACCCGAAACCCGGUGAUCUAGCCAUGGGCAGGUUGAAGGUUGGGUAACACUAACUGGAGGACCGAACCGACUAAUGUUGAA